rnacentral:lncRNA from 10 species
CCAGGAAACAAUACAGAACUCUCAAAGAACUCAUCGAUCACACUGUAGUUUAAAACCAGUGAUGUUCCUGGAGUUGGGUUCCAGAUGUUCCUGGAGUUGGGUUCCAAAUGUUCCUGGAGUUGUGCAGUGCACGGUCCACUCAACAGCACACACUGAUUCUGCUUGAAUGUCCCUGUCAUGAGUUCCAUCUGCAUUUUGCUGCAGUGAAUCCAUGAUGAUUCUUUCAGUGAGGAUCCGUGGAUGGAAAACCCAGUGAAUAUUUGCAUUUCUGAAAAUAUCUUAAACUUGUCUGUCCUCCCCUUUACCACUUUUUUUUUAAUUAUUUAUU